UACAGAGGUGCCAAGCGUUGUUCGGAUUUAUUGGGCGUAAAGGGUGCGUAGGUGGUCAUGCAAGUCGGUUGUGAAAUCCCGGAGCUUAACUCCGGAAUGGCAUUCGAAACUGUAUGACUCGAGGUCUGGAGAGGUGACUGGAAUUCUCGGUGUAGCAGUGAAAUGCGUAGAUAUCGAGAGGAACACCAGAGGCGAAAGCGGGUCACUGGACAGAACCUGACGCUGAGGCACGAAAGCUAGGGGAGCAAACGGG
rnacentral:rRNA from 1 species